rnacentral:lncRNA from 1 species
GAUACUACAAUAUUUAAGAAUGUAGCGACUGAUCACCCGCCACCCCGUGUACAAAUAAUGAAAGCAUCCAAUUCAAAACGCGAGGUUUUUGUGUAGUGUGUAUAACCAACUACGGCUGCAGAAUAUACAGAGUCUCUGGUGUUGAUGGAAAGGAUUGUUUACCUAGAGGCAGCUUGGUAUGACAUGUUGCAAAGCAUUCUGUUUGAUUAACAGAUAAUAGAUACUGCAGACACUAGCAAAUUAUACUUACCUAGCAGUUGCCGUAUUCCAGCCAUGGAGUCAUAAUCUUAGAAUAAAGGUCUCGGUGUUUAGGUGAAUCUGAGGAAAGUCCAAAAUAUUGCAACUGUUCCAGUUGUUAAAAUUGUAAGCAAAGACGUAUGCUGGCUUAAACACAUCAACAAGACAACAAAACACUCAUUUCAUAUGCUGGCUCCAGUGAUGUUAAUUCAGCUGCAGAUACUUCUGUUCUCAAAUAUGUAUCGACAGUACCUGUGUCAGGUGUACUGGCAAACAUGUUAUAUCUUCAUUUUUGUCGAGCCCG